rnacentral:rRNA from 1 species
AUUGAACGCUGGCGGCAGGCCUAACACAUGCAAGUCGAGCGGAUGAAGAGAGCUUGCUCUCUGAUUUAGCGGCGGACGGGUGAGUAAUGCCUAGUAAUCUGCCUGGUAGUGGGGGAUAGCGUCCGGAAACGGGCGCUAAUACCGCAUACGUCCUACGGGAGAAAGCAGGGGACCUUCGGGCUGUGCGCGAUCAGAUGAGCCUAGGUCGGAUUAGCUAGUUGGUGAGGGAAUGGCUCACCAAGGCUACGAUCCGUAACUGGUCUGAGAGGAUGAUCAGCCACACUGGAACUGAGACACGGUCCAGACUCCUACGGGAGGCAGCAGUGGGGAAUAUUGGACAAUGGGCGAAAGCCUGAUCCAGCCAUGCCGCGUAUGUGAAGAAGGUCUUCGGAUUGUAAAGCACUUUAAGUUGGGAGGAAGGGCAGUAAGUUAAUACCUUGCUGUUUUGACGUUACCGACAGAAUAAGCACCGGCUAACUUCGUGCCAGCAGCCGCCGUAACAC